GACAGAGGCCCCAAGCGUUAGGCGGAAUCACUGGGCUUAAAGCGUGUGUAGGCGGACGCCUAAGUGUCUUGUGAAAUCCCACGGCUCAACCGUGGAACUGCUUGGCAUACUGGCGGUCUUGAGCAACCUAGGGGCGAGCGGAACAAAUGGUGGAGCGGUGAAAUGCGUAGAUAUCAUUUGGAACGCCAAUGGUGAAAACAGCUCGCUGGGGGUUUGCUGACGCUGAGACACGAAAGCCAGGGGAGCAAACGGG
rnacentral:rRNA from 1 species